rnacentral:rRNA from 1 species
CCUACGGGAGGCAGCAGUGAGGAAUAUUGGUCAAUGGGCGAGAGCCUGAACCAGCCAAGUCGCGUGAGGGAAGCCGGUCCUACGGAUUGUAAACCUCUUUUGUCAGGGAGCAAGGAGCGCCACGAGUGGUGCGGCGAGAGUACCUGACGAAAAAGCAUCGGCUAACUCCGUGCCAGCAGCCGCGGUAAUACGGAGGCUGUGAGCGUUAUUCGGAUUUAUUGGGUUUAAAGGGGGCGCACGUGGAAGCGGCAAGUCAGCGGUAAACUUGAGGGGCUAAACCUCGCCGAGACGUUGAAACUGCGCUUCUAGAUUGGGCGAGAAGUAUGCGGAAUUCGUGGUGUAGCGGUGAAAUGCAUAGAUAUCACGCAGAACUCCGAUUGCGAAGGCAGCAGACCGGCGCCCAACUGACGCUCAUGCACGAAAGCGUGGGUAUCGAACAGGAUUAGAUACCCGUGUAGUC